GGGGACGAUCGGUUUCGACGGGAAAUGUACUUUAAAAUCUGCAAGCAAAGUUUGACCCACACUUUUCAAAAGAGGUCAAAAAGAAUAAUUGCUAACAAAAGCGAUUAUGACUUCGACUACGCUUAUUUAAGCUAAGUUGAAUGCUCACCGGCCUUGUUUCUCAACCGAGCUGGAUGGGUAUAAACCUGUUGAGAUGCGGAAAGUAUGAGUGGUUUUAUAUACUUUCCUAAGACUUAAAACCAAACUCUCAACUCUUUCUUUAGUUUUAAUGUUGAGAAUUAAAAAUUUAAGCUAAAUAAGCUUGUAGAAGAUUUUAAAUUCAUUUUUCGGACGAGGGUUCGAUUCCCUCCGUCUCCACCA
rnacentral:tmRNA from 1 species